rnacentral:lncRNA from 1 species
UAGACACUGAGCCUGCUGCGCCACACAAACCAUCCCAGACUGACAAAACAUACAGAACUCAGUGCUGAAAUGAGAAAUAUUUGAUCCCUCAAGGGAAGAAGAGGAGAUGGAGUUGGGGCCUCUUCAUCCUCCAUCACCUCAUUACCAAAACCAGCAGCAGAUCACUCCCACGCUAGGCCAUAAAAAUGAUCUUCCCCUUCCCAUCUGACACUGGUGGUGAGAGUAAUCUGGAAUUAACAUCACAAUGCAAGAAGCUGGCUCCCAAAAUAUGUGACCCAAGAUUUUGUAAGCCUCUUGAAGUUCUGCUGCACACAUCUAUCU